AUGAUCCAACUACUCGAUACAAAUGAUCUAUUAGAUUGCGUCCUUAGACACCGCGAUGCAAUCAUAUCCCACCUUAACUGGGUAUGUAUAUUUCUAGGUUUUCACAGUUUUGGCUUGUACAUUCAUAAUGAUACCAUGAGUGCUUUAGGCUGUCCACGAGAUAUGUUUUCGGAUACUGCCAUACAAUUACAACCUAUCUUUUCUCAAUGGGUACAAAAUAUCCAUGCUACUGCGCUUGGCGUAACAGCUCCUGGUGCAACAACAAGUACUAGCUUAACGUGGGGAGGUGGCGAGUUAGUAGCAGUAGGUGGCAAGGUGGCUUUGUUACCUAUUCCAUUAGGAACCGCAGAUUUUUUAGUCCAUCACAUUCAUGCAUUUACCAUACAUGUGACUGUAUUAAUACUUUUGAAAGGUGUUUUAUUUGCUCGGAGUUCCCGUUUGAUACCCGAUAAAGCAAAUCUAGGUUUUCGCUUUCCUUGCGAUGGGCCUGGCCGAGGGGGAACAUGUCAAGUAUCCGCCCGGGAUCAUGUUUUCUUAGGUUUAUUCUGGAUGUACAAUGCAAUUUUGGUAGUCAUUUUCCAUUUCAGUUGGAAAAUGCGGUCGGAUGUUUGGGGUACUAUAAGUGAUCAAGGGGUGGUAACUCAUAUUAUAGGGGGAAACUUUGCACAGAGUUCCAUUAUGAUUAUUGGGUGGCUUCGAGAUUUCUUGUGGGCACAGGCAUCGCAAGUCAUUCAGUCUUAUGGUUCUUCAUUAUCUGCAUAUGGUCUUUUUUUUCUUAGGUGCUCAUUUUGUCUGGGCCUUCAGUUUAAUGUUUUUAUUCAGCGGUCGUGGUUAUUGGCAAGAACUCAUUGA
rnacentral:rRNA from 1 species